GUAUGUGAGGGCUUAGGGCUGUCCCACAGUGAAAUCGUCAAGCGCAUGAGGGCUCUCUCGCAGACUUUUUGGACCGUUUUCGUAUGUCUGUAUUUCUGCAGACUUUGCCUGAGGGAAUUGCUCACAGUUCAUAGCGUUGUGACCUGAAGCACGGGCGUUACCAGGGGCAACCCGGAAGCAAGAGAAAAAUCAGGCAAGAGAAGAAGAACGGUAAACGAACAAGCAUGGAAACCAACGCUGAUGUUAAAAUUAGGAUGUCUGGAUGUGGUGCUUGCUUCUGCUGGCAGGUCCAAUCGGCAAACCACUCGUGGCUGCGCUACACACCUGAGACUCCUCCCACAAUCAACCCCUGCUGUUCAUAAACCCCGGCUUAGCACUUAAUUCUUUGCUAGAUCCAUCUGUUUGCUUCCAGUGGUACACUUGUAACUGCCUCAUAGCGUAUAGACUAGUUUCUCACUUUUUGCGGCUAAUUUUUCCUAAUAUCCUGUCAUCCUGUGGUGUUCAGGUUUUUUGGUCUCUGAGUUGGAGAGCUGUUCUGUUUGCCCUGUCUCCACCCGCCUGCCCUGCCCAGCUCAUGCUACCUGCCUGUCUCCAUCUGGAGAUUCCCCUUGCACAUUAUUUGUACUAUUAAUAAAUCUCCUGUUCUUUUUACCACAGAGUUCUCUCAGCUACCAAACCCUACACCAACUACUUGCCUUAUUUACACCCUAAUAUCUUAACAUUUUAAUAAAGAACUCUCUGGGACCUACAAUGCUAAAUAUUAUCUGUCCCCACAAGCUGUAACCAUGUCAAAAUCAGACAUGCUUGUGAUAAUGUGAAACAAAAUUGUCUGACAUCAGACAGUUUGACUGUGUUGCGGCCUUUUAAAUCCAAACUUAAAGCUCAUCUUUUUGCCUUUAACGUUCAGCUAGGUCCUUAUUCUUUCAUUUCUUCAGGCCUUGUACCUGUUACCAUUAUCCUUCUGACUGGAUCGUCUCAAAUCUAUUAAGCCCACUUGACAAGAAUACUAUAAACUUUCUGAAAACCACAGAA